UGCUAGAGCAUAAGAGCCUUGGCUUUCCAUGUUGGUAGCAAUUCUUGCGGGCAAGAUACACUUUGCCUGGAGAUGGAUGGCUUUUCAGAUCUGAAGAACCAUGUCAGAACACAAAUUUUCAUAAUAAAAGCACAAGUUCAGGUGUCCCCAAGCUAGUUAAACUGGACAGGAAAGCAAAAAGGUGCUUGCAUCUCAAAUGCUACUUGUGUUUGCAACUUUGAAAGAGGGUA